rnacentral:rRNA from 1 species
CCUACGGGGUGCAGCAGUGAGGAAUAUUGGUCAAUGGACGGAAGUCUGAACCAGCCAAGUAGCGUGCAGGAUGACUGCCCUAUGAGUUGUAAACUUCUUUUGUACAAGGGUAAAGUUGAAUACGUGUACUCUUUUGUAUGUACUGUAUGAAUAAGGAUCGGCUAACUCCGUGCCAGCAGCCGCGGUAAUACGGAGGAUCCAAGCGUUAUCCGGAUUUAUUGGGUUUAAAGGGAGCGUAGGCGGAUUGUUAAGUCAGUGGUGAAAGUUUCGGGCUUAACCCGAAAAUUGCCUUUGAUACUGUGGGUCUAGAGAGUAGAUGAGGUAGGCGGAAUGUGUGGUGUAGCGGUGAAAUGCUUAGAGAUCAUGCAGAACACCGAUUGCGAAGGCAGCUUACCAAUCUGUAUCUGACGUUGAGGCACGAAAGCGUGGGGAGCAAACAGGAUUAGAUACCCUGGUAGUC